UUAAUUUUUAACAUUAUCUUAAUAAAAUUUUUAAAUCUGUUCUUAUCAGUUUAAUAUCUGAUAUGUCCUUUCUUUGAGGACUGUAUAUUAAAUUGAUUUUUGGAACAGGGGGAUGGAAUACGAGCUUGCUCUGUUCACCCCAUGCAUCGACCGGGUAUUGCAGUGCUUCCAGGAACGGUGCCUCUCCU
ensembl:snRNA U2 U2 spliceosomal RNA